UGACAUGAUUGUAUGUUAUUUGCGCGCACACCAACGCUAUGAUAUAGUUGACUGUGUUUUUGUUUUUGUUUUUUCUUUGUUUUCGUUUCUUUUUAAGGGCUAAUUUACUCCCGAGAGAGAGGUGU
rnacentral:ribozyme from 14 species